ACCGGGCCCCACGAAAGUCGUGUGAAAAUUUAAAACGAUGUCAACCAGAAAAAUAACGUCCACCACACUAUCCAGUACCAGCCAGGCUAUGUUGUUCUGCUUUGUUUUGAAGGAAACAUUAUAAGGAACCAUAAUGGCGGUGUAGAAGACAUUCAGGACCCAAUUCUCUAGACAGUGAUUUGCAUAUGUAAAGCCCUCCAAAAAAAUGCAAGAUGAGGACAAAAAGGAGGAGGAAAGGGUAGAGAAGGACAAGGAGGAGGAAGAAGAGGAAAAUGGCAACAACAAAAAACAGUGCACAAAAAAUAAGCUUCAUCUUUUUCAUAUGCAAAGCACCACUAAUCUUCACUCUGUCCCUGGGCUCUUUCAUAAAACAGUGGAAGGAUGCAAAUGACAAGGCCCAAGGGGAUAGCAAAGCUGCUGAAUAACUGUGUGGGAAAAUGCCAUAUGCCAGCCAGGAUCCGUUGCCUUGGACUGUUAUAUGAGCAAGAAAUGUGCUUCUAUUGUACUAAGCCACUGAAAGUUGGGGAUUUAUUUGUUAUAGCAGCUAGUCUUACCCUAAUAAAAACAGUCCUUCAAUGUGUUUGUGUGCAGAUAUAAGAGAAUAAAACUGAAUUUCAACA